GCCGCCUCCCAGCUGCGGGGGAGGGGGCCACCGCAGCACUUCAGGACAGUUAGGUUGUAACAGGCUUCUCCAUCCUGGCGCAGGGUCUGGCUCGGCGACAACGCCUUGUGACAGUUGCCAAUAGCAUUAGCCUUUGGAUUUCCACUUUAGGUUACAGCCCAGGCUUUCGGUCCCCCUCCUCAUGCCUGUAAGAAGGGGGGCGGGGUUGUUCCUGGCCAUCAGCAAUCAACAAGAAAAAGCUGAAGAAGAAAAACAAAAGAAUUAGCUGAAGAAGAAAAAAAUGGCUUAACAUGAUGAUUCUCAACCAUGGCUGUACAGAAGAAUCACUUAAAGGAACACUUAAAAAAACAGCAACUGAAGCCUUAAAAAAAUUACCUGAAGUACUUGAUAGCAGCCAUUGGAUUGAACAUGUGCGUACCCAUCAUCGUCUAAAGGUAGCUGAACGUUUGGACACACGUUUGGUUUCCUGGGCAGUGGCCGCCAUCAGAUGUGUUGGUCCUCAUAACUCCUUAGGGGAAGCCUUCUACUGUAGCUGGCUGCCCACGUCAUUGUAAUGUGUCAAUAAAG
rnacentral:lncRNA from 1 species